GCCUGUGUGGCCUAGUGCUUUUUGAGUGUUGGACUGUGACUCUGGAGAUCAGGGUUCGAUUCCCAGCUUGACCA